ACAGCAGUCGCCACGGGAAUACAGAGGGUGCGAGCGUUAAUCGGAUUUACUGGGCGUAAAGCGUGCGUAGGCGGCUUCUUAAGUCGGAUGUGAAAUCCCUGAGCUUAACUUAGGAAUUGCAUUCGAUACUGGGAAGCUAGAGUAUGGGAGAGGAUGGUAGAAUUCCAGGUGUAGCGGUGAAAUGCGUAGAGAUCUGGAGGAAUACCGAUGGCGAAGGCAGCCAUCUGGCCUAAUACUGACGCUGAGGUACGAAAGCAUGGGGAGCAAACAGGAUUAGAUACCCCCGUAGUCCCUGUCUCUUAUAA
rnacentral:rRNA from 1 species